ensembl:snoRNA SNORA73 Small nucleolar RNA SNORA73 family
CCAAUGUGGAUACCCUGGUGUAGGGGAGUCUAGGGCCCUACCCCAUGCUAAACAGUCCCUUUCCAAAAUGUUGAGGAAGAAGCUGGGCUUCAAGUCUGUGCCUGCAUAGUCCUGUGACUUCUCAGAGUCCUGUGGACGAUGCCUGAGGACACAAACCAUGAGGAAACAAAA